CCUACGGGAGGCAGCAGUAGGGAAUCUUCCACAAUGGGCGAAAGCCUGAUGGAGCAACGCCGCGUGAGUGAUGAAGGCCUUCGGGUUGUAAAACUCUGUCAUUCGGGACGAACCGGAGUCUGAGGAAAUGCAGACUCUCUGACGGUACCGGAGGAGGAAGCCCCGGCUAACUACGUGCCAGCAGCCGCGGUAAUACGUAGGGGGCAAGCGUUGUCCGGAUUCACUGGGCGUAAAGCGCGCGCAGGCGGUGAUGUAAGUCUGAGGUGAAAACCCGAAGCUCAACUUCGGGACUGCCUUGGAUACUGCGUCACUUGAGGAUAGGAGGGGCAAGGGGAAUUCCACGUGUAGCGGUGAAAUGCGUAGAGAUGUGGAGGAACACCUGUGGCGAAGGCGCCUUGCUGGCCUAUUUCUGACGCUGAGGCGCGAAAGCGUGGGGAGCAAACAGGAUUAGAUACCCUGGUAGUCCACGCUGUAAACGAUGAGUGCUAGGUGUAGGUGGGCUCAUACCACUCUGUGCGACGACGUAACGACGAUAAGACAACUCCGUCCGUUCGGGGUUAGGGUACGGGUUCGGCGAAGACGUUAGAACGUACGAAAGAAGUUAGUUAGGACGGCGAGAGACGCGACGACGGACGACGACGGAGGAGGAG
rnacentral:rRNA from 1 species